rnacentral:rRNA from 1 species
UACGGAGGGUGCAAACGUUGUUCGGAAUCAUUGGGCGUAAAGGGCGCGUAGGCGGCCCGGCGCGUCCGCGGUGAAAGCUCCCGGCUCAACUGGGAGAGGUCCGCGGAAACGGUCGGGCUGGAGCAAGGUAGGGGGUCGUGGAAUUCCCGGUGUAGUGGUGGAAUGCGUAGAGAUCGGGAGGAACACCAGUGGCGAAGGCGGCGACCUGGACCUGUGCUGACGCUGAGGCGCGAAAGCGUGGGGAGCGAACCGG